GACGAACGCUGGCGGCGUGCUUAACACAUGCAAGUCGAACGAUGAAGCCUAGCUUGCUAGGUGGAUUAGUGGCGAACGGGUGGGUAAUACGUGAGUGACCUACCUUUGACUCUGGGAUAAGCCUGGGAAACUGGGUCUAAUACCGGAUACGACCAAUCUCCGCAUGGGGUGUUGGUGGAAAGCGUUAUGGAGUGGUUUUAGAUGGGCUCACGGCCUAUCAGCUUGUUGGUGAGGUAAUGGCUUACCAAGGCGACGACGGGUAGCCGGCCUGAGAGGGUGACCGGCCACACUGGGACUGAGACACGGCCCAGACUCCUACGGGAGGCAGCAGUGGGGAAUAUUGCACAAUGGGCGCAAGCCUGAUGCAGCGACGCCGCGUGAGGGAUGACGGCCUUCGGGUUGUAAACCUCUGUUAGCAUCGAAGAAGC
rnacentral:rRNA from 1 species